UACGUAGGGCGCAAGCGUUAUCCGGAAUUAUUGGGCGUAAAGAGCUCGUAGGCGGCCUGUUGCGUCCGCUGUGAAAGCCCGGGGCUUAACCCCCGGGUCUGCAGUGGAUACGGGGCAGACUAGAGUGUGGCAGGGGGAGACUGGAAUUCCUGGUGUAGCGGUGAAAUGCGCAGAUAUCAGGAGGAACACCGGUGGCGAAGGCGGGUCUCUGGGCCAAUACUGACGCUGAGGAGCGAAAAGCGUGGGGGGAGCGAACAGG
rnacentral:rRNA from 1 species